CAGCUGGCCUGUGACUCGCCUCACGUGGCGUGCCGGGGGCCAACCAGCUCGCCAGGAUUUUUAUGAAACAGACGCACGGAGCACAAGGCGGAGGAAGCUCUGAUGCUGUCCCCACCCCCUCUCCCAGCCCGUGCAUGAUGAAAUUAAAUGACAUCAGCGGCCUGACUACAGGACAUCCGAGGGCAGCGAUGAAUGAAUGUGGUGGACGCGGGAGUUUGUGCUGAAUUCUCAAAAUUGCUUACUGUGCCUGGGGAUAAAGCUGUCAGCGCGGAGUGGGAGAUGGGGGCACAUACGCGGCGCUAAUGUUUAGCAGCUUUCAUGUAAAAGGUUGGCAAAGUCUGAAGUUUGAUUUACUUCUGAGUGAAAUAGGUCAUUUUUUUUUCUAACCAUGACGGGUGAGUCACGGCGCAUGAAUAACACUGUGGAUUCCAACAACCCAAUCACGUUGUCGCAAAUCGAGUGAUUUGUAACCGUUUAAAAAUGCGGUAGAAUAAACAUAGAACUGUACUGUUUGCAA